rnacentral:tRNA from 1 species
GCUCCAGUGGCGCAAUCGGUUAGCGCGCGGUACUUAUACGGCGGUAUACGUGCGGGUGAUGCCGAGGUUGUGAGUUCGAGCCUCACCUGGAGCA